rnacentral:rRNA from 1 species
UACGUAGGGUGCAAGCGUUAAUCGGAAUUACUGGGCGUAAAGCGUGCGCAGGCGGUUUUGUAAGUCUGACGUGAAAGCCCCGGGCUCAACCUGGGAAUGGCGAUGAAGACUGCAAGGCUUGAAUCUGGCAGAGGGGGGUAGAAUUCCACGUGUAGCAGUGAAAUGCGUAGAGAUGUGGAGGAAUACCGAUGGCGAAGGCAGCCCCCUGGGUCAAGAUUGACGCUCAUGCACGAAAGCGUGGGGAGCAAACAGG